GGAAGUAAAAGUCUAACAAGGUUUCCGUAGGUGAACCUGCGGAAGGAUCAUUAUCAUUUUCCAACUUUUCUGCUUCUCUUCCUGUUUCGCAAGGAACACGGCGGGGAUUCAGAAAAAUAUCAACCAACCGUGAACUGUUUCUGCCUCCAUUGGGUGGCGGGUGAGCGCGAGGGAAAGGUUGUUUUCUCUACUCUCGUGGUAGAGAAACGGGUUUCAUUUUGUCUCUGACAAAGAGUGGUUUUGUGAAAUCUUUAAUCUUUCUUUUUUGCCAUGCGAAUUCACUUUUGCACAUCCCUACCUUUUGGUUGUAUUUUUUUUUCUAAACUCACUUUUUGUUCUUUAUUUACCUUUUGAACAAUUACAAUUCUUUUUCCUUUUUGGAACUGAAAUGAUUCUCUUAUUCGGAGUUCCUAAAAACAACUCUGAAAAGAAAAUCGAAUUUUUAAACAAAAAUUUAGAACAACUCUUAGCAACGGAUAUCUUGGUUCUC
rnacentral:misc_RNA from 1 species